rnacentral:misc_RNA from 1 species
CGAGCAAAAUCACGUAGGUGAAGCCGUUGGAAUAAUAGAGAUGCUCCUUCUCGAAUCUUUCUAAUUACAUCUACAGGAAAACGAGGAGGAGUAUGAUAAGCAACCUGUUGUGUUGGAAGAUACUUUCUUCGGUAAUUGAAAAUUGCGUCCUUUUCCCUUAUAUCAACAUUGCCAUGAAACUGGAGUUCCACCUCAGUUGGCAGUAGAACAAC